AAAACACAAAAUCCGGAUUCAUUAUUAUAACUACUAAACUGAAAACAACUUAAACAUGUUCUUCAAAUAUCACAAACUAAACUUAGAAAUGAAUUAAAAAACAAAAGAAAAUCGUGACCCUCCUCCUCCUUUUCUCUUCACUGCAGCUCUCACUUUCCCCUCACUUUUCUCGAUCCAGUUCACUGCAACUCUCUCUUUCCCCUCACUUUUCUCGAUCCAGUUGCAGCAAAUCUGCACUCUCUCCCUCCCCUUAUCUUCAUCCAACAUCUUUCUCUCCCGAUCCACUCUCUCUUGGUCGCUCUUGGUGUGCUAGCCACUGCCGCUGCUCUGUCUCCACCGUAACCGCUGCUGCUCCGACUCCGUCCAGCCGCUGCUGCUCCGUCUUUGCUCUCCCGGAUCUGUCACUUGCCCGACCGUUGUUGCUCUCCCUGAUCUGUCACUUGCCGGUAUUUAUUUUGUUUAUGAGCUGAAAUUUUUGAGAAAUUAUUUGAGUGAUUUUAAUUGUUUUUAAUAGGAUGAUAUUGUAGAUUAAUAGCAUGUACUGAAACUAGAGUAUUGUAGAUUAAUCAUAUUGGGGGUUAUUACACUACUGAAAAUUGAGUGGGGGAUUAAUAGCAUGUACUGAAAAUUGUAUGUUUAUAUCUGAAACUUUCACUCAAAGUUAACAGAGCAAUUUCAAUUAUUCUUUUCGUUGUAAAUCCUUGUGCAAAAUAUUGUUUUUUUCCCUUCGGCCUAGGCAGUUGGCAGUGUUAAUAUUGUUCUUCGUGCAGUAUUCUGCUAUGAAUUUGAUUGAGAAGUGUUCGGCUCUAUGAAAAAAUAAUAAUAAUAAAAGCAAAAUAAGUUGCUCAAUUAUUAUAAUAAAUGGUGUGCAAAAUUCUGUUUGUUCUGGUGCAUUUGUGCAUACAUGUGUCGAAUGUGAAUUAGCAAUCCAAGAUGAUAGCUUAUCAAAAAAAUUCUGUUUGUUUAGCUGGGUGAAUAACCCUCACUAGGUUACUACUUUACUUGCUUUGUGAUAGGUCACAGAUUAGAAUUUCCUUGUUGAAAAUAAACUACUAGUUACCAAAUUGAAAAGUAGUACCAAUCAUCGCUGCACACACUAUUUGCUUACCAGUUUCAUUGUUGGGUUUGCUGGUUAUAUUAUUGUUGCAAAGUAUAUAUGUCUUGAUAUUACUUAAUUUGUAGAGAAGAAAAAUGUAGCUUAGAGUUCCUUAAAUAUUAAGUUAAAAUUAAGUACGUUUAUCAAUUAGCCUUGAAUUUACAAACUUGAAAUUAAAAAAAAAAAAAAAAGAUCUUACAAACUUGAAACCUCUAUUUUCAAUGAUUAAAUUCCAUGAGUGCUUUUUGUUUGUUUAUGACAUGGUGAUCUCUCAUCACGAUUUUGUUGUGUGCAUUAUUUUCUUUGUACUAAAGUGAAUCUUUAAUGUAUUUAUGAAGUUUAAUGGAGCAAUCCUAGUUAAUUUUGAUGAUUUAUACAUGCAUUUAAUUUCAUUUUUAAUAAUUCAUGUACAGGAAAUAUGGAUUCUUGGCUUUGCUUGGACUUAUGUUUUGUGCAAUUUCAUUUGGGAUCAAUCCGCUUCGAGGAUAAACACUUGUAGUUCAGAGUUUACAUUGUUGUCAUUAGAGCUUGUUUUCAUAAAAUAAGUGUAACUUGAAAGUACAUUGUACACUAUUGAAUUUGAUUUAUCUCCAGUAAGUGUUAAUGUAUGAUGUCUAUCAUGUAAUUUUUUUAUAAUUAUUUUGUUUAAUUUAUGUGUUGUAAUAUGUAACUUAAUUAUAAUGUAAAAACAAUUAUAAUGUAAAACUUUUUUCUAUUAAUGCUAAUACUAAAACUUUAUCA
rnacentral:lncRNA from 1 species